rnacentral:rRNA from 1 species
GACAGAGGUGCCGAGCGUUAGGCGGAAUCACUGGGCUUAAAGCGUGUGUAGGCGGGUCGUUAAGUGUCUUGUGAAAUCCCACCGCUCAACGGUGGAACUGCUGGGCAUACUGGCGAUCUUGAGCCACCUAGGGGCAGACGGAACAAGCGGUGGAGCGGUGAAAUGCGUAGAUAUCGGGAGGAACACCAGUAGCGAAGGCGGCACCCUGGGCCGGUACUGACGCUGAGGAGCGAAAGCGUGGGGAGCAAACAGG